rnacentral:rRNA from 1 species
GCUUGUGGCCACGCCACCCUGAAAACGCCAGAUUUCAACUGAUCUCAGAAGCUAAGCAGGGUCAGGCCUGGGACACCACCUGGGAAUACCAGGUGGUGUAACCU